rnacentral:rRNA from 1 species
GACGAACGCUGGCGGCGUGCCUAAUACAUGCAAGUCGAACGCUUCUUUCCUCCCGAGUGCUUGCACUCAAUUGGAAAGAGGAGUGGCGGACGGGUGAGUAACACGUGGGUAACCUACCCAUCAGAGGGGGAUAACACUUGGAAACAGGUGCUAAUACCGCAUAACAGUUUAUGCCGCAUGGCAUAAGAGUGAAAGGCGCUUUCGGGUGUCGUUGAUGGAUGGACCCGCGGUGCAUUAGCUAGUUGGUGAGGUAACGGCUCACCAAGGCCACGAUGCAUAGCCGACCUGAGAGGGUGAUCGGCCACACUGGGACUGAGACACGGCCCAGACUCCUACGGGAGGCAGCAGUAGGGAAUCUUCGGCAAUGGACGAAAGUCUGACCGAGCAACGCCGCGUGAGUGAAGAAGGUUUUCGGAUCGUAAAGCUCUGUUGUUAGAGAAGAACAAGGACGUUAGUAACUGAACGUCCCCUGACGGUAUCUAACCAGAAAGCCACGGCUAACUACGUG